GCCCCCAUGGUGUAGCGGUUAGCACGCCAGCCUUUCACGCUGGUAGCGGGAGUUCGAUUCUCCCUGGGGGUACCA
rnacentral:tRNA from 1 species